rnacentral:rRNA from 1 species
AACGAACGCUGGCGGCAUGCCUAACACAUGCAAGUCGAACGAGACCUUCGGGUCUAGUGGCGCACGGGUGCGUCACGCGUGGGAACCUGCCCUUAGGUUCGGAAUAACUCCCCGACAGGGGUGCUAAUACCGGAUAAUGUCUUCGGACCAAAGAUUUAUCGCCUUUGGGUGGGCCCGCGUUGGAUUAGCUAGUUGGUAGGGUAAAAGCCUACCAAGGCGACGAUCCAUAGCUGGUCUGAGAGGAUGAUCAGCAACACUGGGACUGAGACACGGCCCAGACUCCUCCGGGAGGCCGCAGUGGUGAAUAUUGGACACUGGGCGAAAGCCUGAGCCAGCAAUGCCGCGUGAGUGAUGAAGGCCUUAGGGUUGUAAAGCUCUUUUACCCGGGAUGAUAAUGACAGUACCGGGAGAAUAAGCUCCGGCUACUUCCGG